UGUAGAGCGCUGCUCAGUGGGGCUGUGGGUCUGUCUUGUAUAUGUCGCACUGGCUCCUACCGGUAGUGGACAGACAAUCAUGACAUUCGCGCAAGACGGGCACAUGUCCACAUUGAAUUAUUGAUAUAAAAGGAGUAAGUGGCUGUAGCCUCUUUUAAGGUGCUGUCUCAGAAUUCGCCUGGAUGUACUGAGGAAAAUUACAAAUCCUUAGGGCCAAGGAUCCUGGGAUUUCCGAAAAGAGGGCAGAGCUGGUACCUACUCAGCCGAAAUGUUGAGAGCUGUCUCUUGAACGUGUAGCUUCGCUUGUGCCUGAGGAACAGAGGCCACGGUCAUAAAGCGUAAGCCUGGUCCACACUUGCUUAUGUAACAAGGGAUUCCACUCACGUGAGGUUCAGUUGCACAUUUUGGGCGAACGGACUGCGCGCUUCUGCUCCGUCAGUUGUCUGUCUACUGAUCCUGCAUGUCAAAACCUACUCUGGUGGCGUAAUAUAGCGUCCUAUCGACGUUCGCUGAAAAGUCGGUUGCGCUGUGGAUCGGCCCCUCCGUGAACGGAACAUGAGCGAAUGUUACAUACUGUAACUUCGUCCAAACAUACGAAUUAGUUCUUAGUUACGCUGUUACGUCACUAGUGAGGGCUCGGCUUCAGACUCAUCAAUAAAACACCGAAUUUUGUUUGUUUUUACGCAAAGAUAAAAAGACUAUUCGAUUUUAUUUUAUUGUCUAUAAAUUCCCUAGUUUCUCGACACAAAUAAUGACGCUAUAGUGUCACGUAGUUUAUUAUUUUUGCAUAAUAAAACACGAAUCAAUCUUUAUAUGUUCAACGCGGUUAUCACUACGCAAAAUUUGCUUGGUUUGUAUUUUCAUACUUAUUUUCAAUAGAAAAAUCUAGUUUGAGCGUUACCUAUUGGCUGCUUUCAACAGGAAAGUUUCUAAUUGGAUUUUAAUAGGGUAUUUGGUUGUAUUGAAAAACAUGAACAAACAGACCGUCGCUCAGUCUUGGUACUGAUGCCAAACAGAACCUGUAAUAUGUAACUGAAUACACAAUAUAAGAAAGAUCUGCUGCCGCACAAAUUCAGCCUCAAUUUUAAACCGAUAAAAACAAAUUUCAAGCUACGGAUUGCCAACUGCGUCAUUCGGAAAGUUAAUAAUUUCGUCUAAAUUACUUUCGAAAGAAGUGCGAUGUAGCAGUUAUUCAUCUUAUUUCAAGAAAUGUGUGAAGUUUGUUUAAAUACGAAAUAAGUCUGAUUUUCAUGAACCAUUGAUCCUCAUGUUUUUAUUGAAGAUUUUGUUGUGACUUUACACUCUAGGUCAUGUUUUUGAUUCGGAUAUAAGAAGGAACGUCAGAUGCUAAUUUAGAAUUAUGUUGACCACAGCGUCUUAACUGUGUGCCUCAAAACUACUAUAUCUUACAUUUGUGCUUCUCUAAAUAUAUGUGGUAAUGCACCACAUUUAUAUUGUUAAUUGUAUUCCGUCUGAUGUGUGACGUUUCACAUUAACGUGGUUUAUAUUAUUAUGAUUUUUCCUUU